UGGGAUAUGGCUUGGUGGUAGAGUAUGUGACUCACAUACACAAAACCCUAGAUUCCAUCCCCAGUAUCAUAU
rnacentral:tRNA from 1 species